rnacentral:lncRNA from 1 species
AAACUCACUCUGCGACCUCUCAGCAGCUACAUGGCACCUCUGCCAUAGCCCUGUGGAGUAACAGUGCUGCCAUGAACGAAGCUCAGUGUGGCAUGAAAAUUACACAAGUGAGAGGAAGGGGAAUUCCAACAGCUGGCACCGCACCCUCACACAGCGACAGGAGCAAGAGAAGACAGACACUUAUGGCCAGGAUCUGCAGACAAAAGCAGGGAGGAUUUUUAAUUUCAUCUGCUAAAAUAACUGGUCCACCUUUUGUGUGUGUUCUUUGGCCACCUGCAUGAUCAUAAUAAAAGACAAAAGCACAAUCCAGAUAAACAAAGGACAUGAGGAAACUUGAAGCCUGGUGCUAUUCAAACUGAACUACUUAAAUAAAAAAAUGCAAAGGU